rnacentral:rRNA from 1 species
GACAGAGGCCUCGAGCGUUUAGGCGGAAUCACUGGGCGUAAAGCGCGCGUAGGCGGCCCGGUAAGUCCGUUGUGAAAGUCAAAGGCUCAACCUUUGAACGCCGAUGGAUACUGCCGGGCUAGAGUCCGGAAGAGGCGAGUGGAAUUCCUGGUGUAGCGGUGGAAUGCGCAGAUAUCAGGAGGAACACCAAUAGCGAAGGCAGCUCGCUGGGACGGUACUGACGCUGAGGCGCGAAAGCGUGGGGAGCGAACAGG